AGCAAGCUAGCGAUAGUGAGCGAAUCCCAAAAAGUGCGUCGUAGUCCGGAUUGGAGUCUGCAACUCGACUCCAUGAAGUCGGAAUCGCUAGUAAUCGUGAAUCAGAAUGUCACGGUGAAUACGUUCCCGGGCCUUGUACACACCGCCCGUCACACCAUGGGAGUGGGCUGCAAAAGAAGUGGGUAGUUUAACCUUUCGGGGAGGACGCUCACCACUUUGUGGUUCAUGACUGGGGUGAAGUCGUAACAAGGUAGCCCUAGGGGAACCUGGGGCUGGAUCACCUCCUUA
rnacentral:rRNA from 1 species